rnacentral:rRNA from 1 species
GAUGAACGCUAGCGGCAGGCUUAACACAUGCAAGUCGAGGGGUAACAUUGUAGCUUGCUACAGAUGACGACCGGCGCACGGGUGAGUAACGCGUAUAGAACCUACCUUUUACAGGGGAAUAGCCCAGAGAAAUUUGGAUUAAUGCCCCAUAGUAUUAUUGAAUGGCAUCAUUUAGUAAUUAAACAUUUAUGGGUAAAAGAUGGCUAUGCGUUCUAUUAGCUAGAUGGUAAGGUAACGGCUUACCAUGGCUACGAUAGAUAGGGGUCCUGAGAGGGAGAUCCCCCACACUGGUACUGAGACACGGACCAG